UACGGGGGGGGCAAGCGUUGUUCGGAAUUACUGGGCGUAAAGGGCGCGUAGGCGGCCUUCUAAGUCAGACGUGAAAUCCCUCGGCUCAACCGAGGAACUGCGUCUGAUACUGGAAGGCUUGAAUCCGGGAGAGGGAUGUGGAAUUCCAGGUGUAGCGGUGAGAUGCGUAGAUAUCUGGAGGAACACCGGUGGCGAAGGCGGCUCACUGGCCCGAUACUGACGCUGAGGCACGAAAGCGUGGGGAGCGAACAGG
rnacentral:rRNA from 1 species